ACCCUAAUAUCUCCUCAACUUUGUGAAAUUAGAGUCGAGUAUAGCAUCAUUUUUUGUUUUCACCCAAAUUCUAGCCCAUUUCUCAAUUUAAUUGAGCUCCGAGCUGGCGAGGGGAUUCAGCGGAAGGUUCCGGCUAUUCAAUACAUGAUUUUUGGGGGGAAUCGCUGCCGGAGGCUCAACAGAGCUGAGCGCUGCCGACGGUGUGAUUCAUGGCGUCCGCUGUUUUAGGGAGCCAGAAUGAGUCGAGCUGGGCCCACAUGGGAAAGACGCAAUACGCGAAUCCCCACCUAAAUCCAAACCCUCACCCUAACCCUAAGAAGAAGCAGAAGCAAUUCCACCCAUCUCCAGCGAAUGGUGCCGCCGGUCGCUACCGCAGCAUCAGCAACAACGUCGCUUCGCCGGCCGUCGCGCAGACGGCGUCAGAUGAUGCAUAUUCUUUCAACCAGACGCCUGCGGCUGGGAACGCGGGGAAUUACGGUGGCUAUUUGACCUUCAAUGUCACGACGUACACGAAAUCAGAGCUUCUGGAGCUCCGGAAACGCCUCUCUGCCGAACUCGGUCAAAUCCGUGAUUUGCGUGAUCGGAUUGAUUUUGGUCGGUUCAACAUUGGUGAAACCCCUAGAUGUCAGCCGAAAUCAAAGAAAUGUAGUGGCAGUAAACGUCCCGGCCCUGCGAUUGGAUCCAUUCCUAAGAGAUUGAACGAUGGAUAUGAAAAUGGCAGCUUGGAGACGGUGAAUUUUGGGGAUUUGCUGAAAGAAUGCGAAAAGAUUGUGACUAAAUUGAUCAAAGGCAAAUUCGGCUAUGUUUUCAAAGAUCCGGUGGAUGCAGUGGCUUUUGGGCUUGUCGAUUAUCAUCUGAUUGUGAAGCAUCCAAUGGAUCUCGGCACCGUGAAAGCGAAUCUGGCGAAGAAUUUCUAUCGGACGCCGGUAGAAUUCGCAGCUGAUGUCAGGCUGACUUUUAACAAUGCGUUGCUCUACAAUCCUAAGACGGAUCCCGUUCAUGGCAUGACGGAGGAAAUUCUGGCACGGUUCGAGGAGAUGUUCAGGCCGGUACAGGAGAAGUUCAACAGCGUGCUCGAUAAGCUGCCCAAGAAUGAGCCCCACGAUUUCAAAAAGCUGCCCAAGAAUGAGCCUCAUGAGUUCAAAAUCAACAAUGAUUUGCCGUUCCGGGAGGUUGAGGAGUUGCAGGGCAGCUCUUGGAACAGUAAUGGUUGUCAGGCUCUGGCUGCAAAGAAGUCGAAGAAGAAAGGCGGAUAUGUUCCUGUUUCCCAUGUUAUGAAGAAGUCUGAUAGAAUGCAAGACCAUUCAACUGCUUCAACACCGCCGAUGAAUCUUCAACCAUUAGCACCGGAGCCAUUACCUCCCUCGCCAGUGAGGGCUCCUCCUCUACCCGCGGUGAAGGAGCAGAAACCUGGAAGAGUAGUGACACCGAAACAGCCAAAGCCAAGAGCUAAGGAUGUUAAUAAGAGAGAGAUGAGUAUGGACGAGAAGCAGAAACUUGGAUUUGGGUUGCAGAAUUUACCCCAAGAGAAGAUGCCUCAACUUGUACAGAUAAUCAGGAAGAGGGAUGAGCAUUUGGCACAGGAUGGCGAUGAAAUUGAGCUUGAUAUUGAGGCUCUUGAUACUGAUACGCUGUGGGAACUUGAUCGAUUUGUGACCAAUUGGAAGAAGAUGGUUAGCAAGACAAAGCGGCAAGCGUUGAUGAUGAGCAACAAUCCAGCUGUUGGAGUUUCUAUUCCCUCCAGUCCUGUUACUGAUGCUGCUGAUGUGGGCGCAUUGAGUGACAAGAAUGAUGAUUGUGGCAAGAUGAUGAAAGAAAAUGAUGAAGAAGAUGUAGAUAUUGAUGACGAUAUGCCAGCAGCGAGCUUCCCUGCUGUGGAGAUUGAGAUUGAGAGAGAAGUUGUUGUUGGGCAGGAGAAUGAUGAUGGUGUUGUUGGACAGGAGAAUGAUGGUAUUGUUGGGCAGGAGAAUGCUGGUAGAGGCAAUGCUAGCAGUUGCUCAAGCAGUUCUGGCAGCUCAAGUAGUGAUUCGUCAUCCUCGAGUGAUUCUGAUUCAGGGAGUUCCUCUGGUAGUGAGUCCGACGCAGAUGAUGCACAGUCUUGACUUGAUAGCGUUUUGCGCAAAUCUGAAAAGAAUUCAGUGCUAUUUUGGUCGGGCAUUUUUGGCUACUCUCACAAAUUAGCAUAUUUGUUCAUGAGAAUGGCAAAUGAGGUUGUUGCUGUUGAUGCCGAGGUUGAAGACAAGAGAUUAAUGUGUUGGAUUACACUCUUCCAUGGGAAGUAUAAGCUUAAGCUUAGUGGAGUAAUUGUUAAAAGAUUGUAGUCAGUUUGGAGUAAUUUGUUACAGCUUAAAAGUUUGAUUAAUGUGUUGGAUUACACUCUUCCAUGGGAAA